GAAGAGGAAUAUACAAUCUGAAAAUUAAGACAAAUAGAUCAAAUCCAGUUAAAGUAAGGCAUGUACUGCUUAAUGGAGGAGGUUCUUGUAAAGCCAGAAUGGACAAAAUAUUAGUAAAUUGCACUAGGGAAAAUCCUGUGCUGCUUGAAUUGACCUUAAUGUCCUUUGCACAACUUCAAAAAAGUACCAGUAUCACAUCGGAGCAGCCACAGAAGCUGAAGCCUGUGCUGGGGAUUUGUCAGGAUUCUGCUGUGGGUCGGUGGCAAGGCUGGGGGUGGCUGCAGGGACACAACAGGCCAGCCUGGGCUUGAGCUGGGCUGGAUCUGCUCUGCUCCUUUGUGUAGCCCCCCACCCCACCCAGUUUCAACAGGGAUGCCCUUCUAAAGAAGAACACAUGAAACCAAUGAAUACUCUUCCAGUGGAGCAGAUUCUUUUCCCAGAACCCGCAAUGAAUCAACAAGUUUCAAGUGAGAUCGAGACUACUUGAGAUUCUUUCAGACUCAGUCAUGCACAUAUGGACGGAUGCCAAUGGAACCAAUGGAAUGUCUCUGGAUAUACAUUCAGUGUGGCUGAGUUGUCCUUUUAAGACAAGCUCGGACUUAAGACUGGGUUGUGGCCUGAACAGAAGAAACCAUCAAUGUACAGACAUGAAGUUCACCAAGACAUGGAAACCACAGUGAAAAGAAGUCCUGAACAAACAUGAACUUCUCUGCAGCCAUGAAGAGGUGUAAUACAAUACAAGGUGGAUGUGUCUGCACUAAAUAAAGCAAGUACCUUGGAUAACAGUGCUGGAGUAACAGCCACGUGAACUUUGAUAAGUAGUUGUUACUCAGGUGAGCAGCCAAAGUUCCAUGGGCCCCUGCUCAGUCAGUUGAGAAUACACUGGGACUGAUAUUUAAGGAACCCAGGUAGCUCUAAUCAUGCUCUAAUCCCAUUUUUGAUUUUGUGAGAGACAUGCCCAUGUAGAGCCUGGGCCAAUUCACAAUGUAGCAGAGGUCUCUGAACUAUUGCACUGAUUGGCACCAAGAGUUUUAGUGCAUCAGUUGUCCCAGAUGAAUCACAGAACUGCUUGGAUUGGAAAAGACCUUUAAGAUUAUCGAAUCCAGCUGUUGAUGCAACACUGCCAAGUCCACUACAUCUUCAUGUCAGCUGGGACCUCCCCAGGGGCCAGGGUACAGGGAAAUGACAAAGGGUGGCUCAGUGAGCACUUCCAGCAGCUCCCUCAGUGGCCUUGGGUGGAUCCCAUCCAGACCUGUGUGUCUAAAAGGUGUAGCAGGUCACUGAUCAUUCCUUCUUGGGUUAUGGGGGCUUCAUUUUGCUCCCUGUCCUCCAGCUCAAGAGAUUGUUUACCUAGAGAACAACUGGCCUUACUAGUAAAGAAUAAGGUAAAGAAGUACCUCAGUCUUCUCCUCAUCCUUUGUCACUUUGUUUUCCCCUGCAUCCACGGAAGGAUGGGGAUUCUCUUUAGCUCUCCUUUUGUUGCCAGUGUAUUUACAGAAACACUUCUUUAUUGUCUUUUACAGCAGUAGGCAGAUUAAGUUCAUAUUGGGUUUUGGCCCUUCUAAUUUUCUCCCUGCAUAACCUCCCAACAUCCUUGCAUGUCACACUGAGGUGUGAAGGGAUUAAGUUGAAAGGCCUGGUUAACACAGACAUGGCACUGGUGACAGAAUUAAGUGCUAAUGAUAUAUAACAAAAUACUAUUACAUGAAACAGGAUCUUUUUCACCCAGUUUUUCUAUUCUGUCUGAUAGGACUAGUAGAAGAAAAUGAAAAACUAUCCAUCAAUCAGAGGUCUGGCUGGGUCAGACACUUUGGUCAAAAAAUGUGAGCAAUUCCACCUACCUGCACUAUAAUUUAUUGCAAAAUUAAUGCUGUAACAUGCAAAGCCAUUGUUUGAUAAAGGUAAUUCUUAUCCUCAGGAAAAGAAAAAAAAGCAAAAUUUGUUUCUUUCUCUCUCUCCCCCCCCCCCCCCCUUUUUUUUUUUCCUAUCCUGACAAGAUGAAACCUAUAUAAUAACUGGGGGGUUGAGGAUGAGCCACUUUUAAUGAUUGAAGAAAGGACCUUGAGCAGGAUUUGAUAGACUUUCUCAAUUGUUGAUAAACCAAGAUAUACUAAGAAAAAAGAUACUACAAAGUGUUAUUUUUUUUAAAGUUUUCCUGCUUUUUUUACAACAGAAUGAAAUUGAGGCUUAGUAGGAAGAAUAAGUUUUGAUACACACUACUGGCUAUGAGAAUUUUCAGGACAGCUUAUUCUUAACCAGGAUAAAAUAUAAUAAUUCUCCAGUUCGUGGUCUUAAUUGCACUGUUGCAAGCUAGGGAGACUAAUGGCAUAUUUUUAUUUUUAAAAUGUUUAAAAUUAUAGUUUGUUAUAAAACAGGUCACUUAUGUCUGGUAUUUGAUUGGCCUUGAUUUCUUCCAAAAAUUAAAUUGUUAUAUUAGCUGUGAGGGUAUUCUGAGGUUUUCAGUAAGUAUCAUACAGACUUCAGACUUCAUCAGAAACCGAGUGAAAAUUUAAAAAUUACCCAAUGCCUCCGGAAUUCGCAGCAAACCCUGACAACACCCUGUUGUGAACCUUAUGAUGGCCAUUCUCCAGAGGGAGAAGCUGAGGUGGUAAGAAAGGAUUUUUCCUUUCCUAGACACUCGUAGCUAUUCCUCCAGCUGCACCUUUUAUUAUUCCUUCCUACGCUUUCCUGGUGCAUGGUGCAUUCUGCUGUGCAAUGUGAAGAGGAGCAAAAUCUCAUAAAACUCCAGGGAGCAAAAAAAGGAAAGAGCAUCUCUCACCUAUCCAUUGCUCUUUCUCUUGGUGUGCCUCAUGAAUAGUUUGAAAGAUGCUGAAACAGAUGAGAUUCUUUACCUGCUCUCUAUUCCACCACUCCAUUCCUCCAUCUCUUUUUCAUAGAUACAGUGAAACUGAUACCAGCAGUUGCAGGUGGGAUAACAGGAGGAGGUAGAGUUGUUCCUUGCAGAGGAUUUACCCAUGUUGUGUGCUGUUUCUUUGGGAUUGCCUGAAUAAGAAUAGAUUUAGGAGAGGGGAAACUCUGACUAGAAUGAAUCUGAAUAAGAAGCAAAGGAGUAGGGAGCAAGUGCUGCAGUUGUAAAGCAUCUCCAUGUGGGUUGCUGCAAUACAGAAUUUUGGAUUUUUUUCAUUAUAGGUUUAUUUAGUCUGAUAGGUAUUUGAACACUGUGGUGAAAUAGAACUCCUGUCUAAAUUUUGUCAUUUAUGUUAACUGAUUUUAGGAGAAAAAGAGGUACACUGAAGACCAGGAGCUAAAUCAAGGGUGUUAAUAUAAUUAAUUUAAUCUUUAAAUAAUAUAAAUAUAUUAAAUUUAUAUAUUGACAGAUGACUUUCCAGGAUAAAAGGCAAAAAAUACAGAUAAAAUACUAUAUAAAAUACAACUAAUCAAUUAGAAGAUAAUUUAUGAUAGUUUUGCAUUUUGACGAAGGUGAGGCAACCACACACAGCAGUAAUACGGUUUAUAUUUCAAAUAAUAUCUCAGUAAAAAAUAUACAAUGGGAAAAAAUACCACAAAGAUUUUGUCAUUGCCAAAUCUUUCUUUCCUGUAUUGUUUCUUUUGAAACUUACACUGAGGGGUUGCAGUCUGCAAUAUCUGGUGACCUGCAUAAACUUGUAUAGCAGCUACUGUAGUGGUGUGAUUCUAUUAUCCAGACUUCACAACUUACCUGCUGAGAACUUCCAAGAAAUGAUGUUAUGGUACAAGCAAUCCAGUGUGGGAGUUUUUUUUGUGUGUUUUUUUUUUUUUUCCUGGUUUUCCUACAAAUAUUAUUGUGGGGACCUUCAAGCGUACAAUCUCCACCUGUGAGUGUGUAUACAUGGAAUUGCACCUGAAAUUGGGUACCUGCAAACACCUGCAGAACUAAGAAUAGUUUCCAUUUUAUCUAACUAAGCCUUUCUGUCAUCUAACACCCACAUGCUGACUGCCCUAAAAGUUUGCUGCCACAAAGCUGGUCUGGACCUGCUUAAGAAGACACAGGCACAAGAUUUUGAUUUGCAUUCCUGAACUUUGCAGAGUCUGGACAGAACUUUCAGCAAGUGGAUCUUAACAGCCUCAUGUGGUUAUCACAUUUCAGGGAUUUAAAGGGUAUGUGUGACUCUCACCAGUUUUUCUGGUGUAGUAUCCUGGUCAAGGUCUGCAUUUUUUCAGGAUAGCAUCAUGGUGCAGGGAUCGUGCAGUUACCUAGUGAAGCACCACUUGAAAAUCCUUGCCAAAAUUCCCUGGAGUAGUUUAGGAAAAGUAUCAGAUGGAUCCUGUGCUGUCCCUGGUAGGCAGGUACAAGUACAGGUGUUGGAAACCUCUCCUGGAGGUGCCAUGCUGCCAACUGCAGGAUUCAAAAGAAGUUUUCUCUUUCACAAGAGCUUUCACCCAUGCAGCUCCCAUUGCAGGGUAAGCUCCUUGCUUUUAGGUAAUGCCUAUUUCAUCUGCUGUAAAGACACACAUGAAAAAGGGGCUGGCAUUAGCCACAUAUCCAUAAAAGCCUCGUAGCCAAGAGUAUUAUCUUUAUUCAGAAGAAGUAUAGCACUUUCAAGGUUCAGAAACAUAUAUAAAAAUUGGGUUCUGAAAUGGUCAUUUUUCCCCUCUGCUAUGCCAUUAUAGCGAUCAGCCAAGCUUCUGCAAGGUAAAUACUUUUGGAAAAUAAGUGGAAAUUUGCUGCAAAUCAGUCCCUUUUGUGCAUGGCCACAGGAGCAUGUUGAAAUGUUUGGACACUAAUACCCAUUCAUUUUCUUGGCUCCAUAAAUAAAAGCCGCCAGCUAUGUGGCGGCCGUGAAAUGGUAUUCUUCAGGACCCAGCAGGAAGCCCCAUCCUUAUUACCACUGCAGGGGGCAGGACAGGCCCAAAAUAGCAAGACAACUAAAUCAAGACAUUUUCAAUGUCUAACAAAAUGACUGUGGUUUAGAGAGAAGCAAAAGGUUGGAAAAAAUUGGACAGCUUUUAUACUUAGCAUAAUACCUUUGUUAAAAGAGUUCAGAUAAGAAAAUCAGAUCUCAAAAAAAAAAAAGGCAUAAGUAUAUUUCUGAAUAUAAUUUAAAAUAUGCAAAGACCUGAUGGAACCAGAGACAGAGCAUGGUGCUAUCUGAAAGGACAUCUUGUUCAAGUCAUAUUUUCCAAAUGGUAGCCCAUGGUUCCCAGUAAAUAGUGUCUUCUGGCAAUAUUGUUUGGUUUGGAUGGAACUGAAAGGUUUGAUAAGAGACACUGGAAUUUUGUCAGGAAAAUUCGAAAUUUCUUUUGGUCUACAAAAAUUGUAAAAAAAUACAAUAAUUACAUGGAGGAAAAGUUUUGGACUAAACUCUUCAUUUUUUUCUACAGGUUUACUUAAUUUUUAUGGGUUUGCUACACCAGGCAAUAGGAUGCUAGAUUUUGGUAUAAAAACAUUUUGAAGGGUCUCAGUCAAAAUAAAUAUGAUGGUGUAACUUGAUGUUUUACAUAGCUGAACUGUGCUGAUCUGGGAAAAUAUUAAAGUAGUUUUAAAAACUGGACUUCAGUUAAACGGCGUAUUUUAAGUGUACAGAAGAUCAGUUCUGGAGGUAUUUUGUGUAAGAUAAUAAAAGAUUACACUGUUGAGGUUUUAAUGAAUUCACAGUUCAUUGCUGUAGUCCAAAACUAGUGUUUCAUUCUCUACAACUACACCACUAAAAUAGAUAUGGGAGAAAUGUUAUUUUUAUUUUAAUUUUAUUCAUUUGUGAUUCUGAUUAUAAAUUUGCUUAAACAAAGUUGAAUUAAGGAUAUGCCUGACAUUCACAUUUCAGUGAGUAUAUAUAUGUGUAUAUAUAUAUGAAUUUAUAUUUAUACAUACAAGUUUCCACACAUUUUGGGGAAUUAAGACAGUUACUUGGAAUGUCUUAUUAUAGAAGGAAAUAUUCAGUGUUAGUAUCAAGAGAAAAUAACCAUUUUACCUGAACAUUAAAUUUACCUGAACUGCAGAGGAGAAAUUACUAAGGUACAAA
rnacentral:lncRNA from 1 species